CUACGGGGGGCUGCAGUAGGGAAUCUUCCACAAUGGGCGAAAGCCUGAUGGAGCAACGCCGCGUGAGUGAAGAAGGUUUUCGGAUCGUAAAACUCUGUUGUAAGGGAAGAACAAGUACAGUAGUAACUGGCUGUACCUUGACGGUACCUUAUUAGAAAGCCACGGCUAACUACGUGCCAGCAGCCGCGGUAAUACGUAGGUGGCAAGCGUUGUCCGGAAUUAUUGGGCGUAAAGCGCGCGCAGGCGGUCCUUUAAGUCUGAUGUGAAAGCCCACGGCUCAACCGUGGAGGGUCAUUGGAAACUGGGGGACUUGAGUGCAGAAGAGGAAAGUGGAAUUCCAAGUGUAGCGGUGAAAUGCGUAGAGAUUUGGAGGAACACCAGUGGCGAAGGCGACUUUCAGGUCUGUUACUGACGCUGAGGCGCGAAAGCGUGGGGAGCAAACAGGAUUAGAUACCCCCGUAGUC
rnacentral:rRNA from 1 species